rnacentral:rRNA from 1 species
GACGAACGCUGGCGGCGUGCUUAACACAUGCAAGUCGAACGGUGAAGCGCCUUCUUUUUUGGUUGGUGUGGUUGCGUGCCGAACGGGUGCGUAACACGUGCCUAACCUGCCCCCUUCUUCUGGAUAACCGCAUGAAAGCUUGGCUCAUACGGGAUAUUCUGGGUCUUUCGCAUUGUGGGUCUGGGAAAGUUAUUGUUUCGGUGGGGGAUGGGCUCGCGGCCUAUCAGCUUGUUGGGGGGGUGAUGGCCUACCACGGCGGUGCCGGGUCGCCGGCCUGAGAGGGUGGACGGUCAGACUGGGACUGAGACACGGGCCAGACUCGUACGGGAGGCAGCAGGGGGGAAUAUGGCACAAUGGGCGCAAGCCUGAUGCAGGGAGGCCGCGUGAGGGAUGGAGGCGUUCGGGUUGUGAACCUCUUUCGCGAGUGAAGCGUGCCUGCCUGGUUUGUGGGUGGGGUGACGGUAGCUGGAUAAGAAGCGCCGGCUAACUACGUG